GUGCUCGCUUUGGCAGCACAUAUACUAAAAUUGGAAUGAUACAGAGAAAAUUAGGAUGGCCCCUGCACAAGGAUGACACGCAAAUUCGUGAAGCAUUCCAUAUUUUU
rnacentral:snRNA from 1 species